GACGAACGCUGGCGGCGUGCCUAAUACAUGCAAGUCGAGCGAAGUUUUUCUGGUGCUUGCACUAGAAAAACUUAGCGGCGAACGGGUGAGUAACACGUAAAGAACCUGCCUCAUAGACUGGGACAACUAUUGGAAACGAUAGCUAAUACCGGAUAACAGCAUUAACUGCAUGGUUGAUGUUUAAAAGUUGGUUUUGCUAACACUAUGAGAUGGCUUUGCGGUGCAUUAGCUAGUUGGUGAGGUAAAGGCCUACCAAGGCGACGAUGCAUAGCCGACCUGAGAGGGUGAUCGGCCACACUGGGACUGAGACACGGCCCAGACUCCUACGGGAGGCAGCAGUAGGGAAUCUUCCGCAAUGGGCGAAAGCCUGACGGAGCAACGCCGCGUGAGUGAAGAAGGAUUUCGGUUCGUAAAGCUCUGUUGUUAGGGAAGAAUGAUUGUGUAGUAACUAUACACAGUAGAGACGGUACCUAACCAGAAAGCCACGGCUAACUACGUG
rnacentral:rRNA from 1 species